AAGUCGUAACAAGGUUUCCGUAGGUCAAGAGUUCAGCCUACUAGAGCAGCCUGUACAGGCUGCUAGUUGACGAUUUCGUCAGCGACACACUUAACUUGCGAGAAGGCCCGUUAAAGGGAAAUUCGCAGCCCACCCCCUCACCCGGGGGUCGGUUCAGAGACUCAAUAAGUGUGGGUUUGGCCCAGCCAAGCUUGAGAUAGAGCCCGUCCCUGCUGGUAACUCCAGGGAGCCAACGGAACCUGCGGAAGGAUCAUUAAAGAAUACAUGGCCGCACGGCCCUAUUCUCACCCUUUGUAUACUAAACUUCGUUGCUUUGGCAGGCCCCUGGCUUCGGCUGGAUCGCGCCUGCCAAAGGACCUAAACCCCUGAAUCUUUGAUGUCUGAGUACUAUAUAAUAGUUAAAACUUUCAACAACGGAUCUCUUGGUUCUGGCAUCGAUGAAGAACGCAGCGAAAUGCGAUAAGUAAUGUGAAUUGCAGAAUUCAGUGAAUCAUCGAAUCUUUGAACGCACAUUGCGCCCUCUGGUAUUCCGGGGGGCAUGCCUGUUCGAGCGUCAUUACAACCCUCACGCCUGGCGUGGUAUUGGGCUCGNCCUGUAGGGCCUGNCUCAAAGUCAGUGGCGGCACCGUUUGACCCCUAAGCGUAGUAAUACUCGUCGCUUCUGGUGUCCGGCGNAAGCCUGCCAGCAACCCCCCAAUUUUUUAAAGGUUGACCUCGANUCAGGUAGGGAUACCCGCUGAACUUAAGCAUAUCAAUAAGCGGAGGAAAAGAAACCAACAGGGAUUGCCUCAGUAACGGCGAGUGAAGCGNCANCAGCUCAAAUUUGAAAGCUGGCUUACGCCCGCGUUGUAAUUUGUAGAGGAUGCUUCGGGCGCGGCGCCGGUCUAAGUUCUUUGGAACAAGACGUCAUAGAGGGUGAGANUCCCGUAUGUGACUGGUUGCCUGUGCCCAUGUGAAGCUCCUUCGACGAGUCGAGUUGUUUGGGAAUGCAGCUCUAAAUGGGUGGUGUACUUCAUCUAAAGCUAAAUAUUGGCCAGAGACCGAUAGCGCACAAGUAGAGUGAUCGAAGGAUGAAAAGCACUUUGGAAAGAGAGUUAAACAGUACGUGAAAUUGUUGAAAGGGAAGCGCUUGCAAUCAGACUUGCGCAGCGUCGAUCAACCUAGGUUCUCCUUGGUGCACUCGGCGCUGCUCAGGCCAGCAUCAGUUUCGGCGGUUGGAUAAAGGCCUAGGGAACGUGGGUCGCCUCGGCGACCGUUAUAGCCCUAGGUGCAAUGCAGCCUGCUGGGACUGAGGACCGCGCUUCGGCUAGGAUGCUGGCGUAAUGGUUGUAAGCGACC
rnacentral:rRNA from 1 species